UUUUUUUUUUGAGAUGGAGUCUCACUCUGUCACCCAGGCAGGAGUGCAGUGGUGCGAUCUCGGCUCACUGCAACCUCCACCUCCCAGGUUCAGUGAUUCUCUUGCCCCAGAAUGCGAUCCUCCUCCGUUUCCUUUCCCGCCCCCACCUGGCAACGCACAGAGAAGGCCUGCAGCCCGAGGGCGGAUUUGUUUCAGUCGCAGGUCGCUGGGCGUUUUGACCUCUGCUGUCAGCAGUAAGGAAGGAUGGUGUUAAACCAUGAGAAACCACUCUUGUGAUCCAAUCACCUCCCACCACGCCACACNUACACCAUUGGGGAUUACAUUUCAACGCUCCUCUGGCCUGAUUAACAUGAUAUCACCAACACAGUAGACUAAUCCUUAGCCAACAUGGUGAAACACUGUCUUUGCUAAAAAU
rnacentral:lncRNA from 1 species